GGAGGGUUAGCAUAAUGGUAAUGCAGCAGCCUCGAAAGCUGCCGGGUGAAUAGCCCCUGAGGGUUCGAAUCCCCCACCCUCCGCCA
rnacentral:tRNA from 1 species